rnacentral:snRNA from 1 species
AUACUUACAUGACAAGGAAAGAUACCUUGAUCUCGAAGGUGGUUUUUCCAGGGCAAGGCUUUAUUCAUUGCACCCUGGAUGUGCUGACUCCUGUGAUUUCCCCAAAUGUGGGAAACUCGACUGCAUACUUUACGGUAGCGGGAGACUGCAAUCACACUCUCCCC